GACAGAGGCCUCAAGCGUUAGGCGGAAUCACUGGGCUUAAAGCGUGUGUAGGCGGAUCGUUAAGUGUCUUGUGAAAUCCCACGGCUCACCCGUGGAACUGCUGGGCAUACUGGCGAUCUUGGGCCAACUAGGGGCAACUGGAACAAGCGGUGGAGCGGUGAAAUGCGUAGAUAUCGCUUGGAACGCCAAAGGUGAAAACAGGUUGCUGGGGUUGUGCCCGACGCU
rnacentral:rRNA from 1 species